AUUGAACGCUGGCGGCAGGCUUAACACAUGCAAGUCGAGCGGGGUGAUGGUGCUUGCACUAUCACUUAGCGGCGGACGGGUGAGUAAUGCUUAGGAAUCUGCCUAUUAGUGGGGGACAACAUCUCGAAAGGGAUGCUAAUACCGCAUACGUCCUACGGGAGAAAGCAGGGGAUCACUUGUGACCUUGCGCUAAUAGAUGAGCCUAAGUCGGAUUAGCUAGUUGGUGGGGUAAAGGCCUACCAAGGCGACGAUCUGUAGCGGGUCGGAGAGGAUUCUCCGCCACACUGGGACUGAGACACGGCCCAGACUCCUACGGGAGGCAGCAGUGGGGAAUAUUGGACAAUGGGGGGAACCCUGAUCCAGCCAUGCCGCGUGUGUGAAGAAGGCCUUAUGGUUGUAAAGCACUUUAAGCGAGGAGGAGGCUCUUUUGGUUAAUACCCAAGAUGAGUGGACGUUACUCGCAGAAUAAGCACCGGCUAACUCUGUGCCAGCCGCCGCUGUAA
rnacentral:rRNA from 1 species